rnacentral:lncRNA from 1 species
AUGGCAGGAAAUGCUCUGGCUGGAUGUUCAGUGCUUGGUGUGCCCAUUUCUGCCAGAGCAACAUGGAACUGGAGGUGUCCAGCUGAAACAUUUGUGUAUGUCUGUGUACAGCUCCAGUGGGAAUUUGUGCAUGUCUGUGUACAACUGCAAUGGGAAUUUCAGCUCCAAAGCUCCUGCUCUGCUGGGCUCCCUUCACCUGUACUCUCUUCAUCAGCCCUAGGAUGUAAAACUCCAUGAACUGACUGGAUUAAUGAAUUCAAGCUGUUUGCCAUGUGGUCAGGUAAACAGCUCUUCCUCACAUUUCAGAGUAUACAGAGCGAAGAGCAGGACCAUCCCUUUCACUAACACCAAGACAAUCAGAUUAUCUGUAUAUAAUCUAACCACAUCUUUGGUGGCCUCCAGACAUAGGCACAUUCUGUUAUUUCUUUCCUUGCUUUUAGAUCAACAUUUCUCUUGCAAAGCCCCUUUACAGUUUUUUUGAAUAGUACCAAUAUCAUAUCGAGUAGGGAUCAGUUGUAGGAUACAUCACAGCAACACGUGGAGCAGGAGUGCAUUACAAAGUCCAACAGACAAAUGCAAGGUGUUGCACCCCUGAAACAGCAACCCAGGAGUGCAGCAAAGGCUGGCAUCUUUCACAGAAGUCAGUGGGUAAAAGCAUAAAGAAUUGGAUCAGCGUGUCUGUCCUGAAAUUCACUUACUGUACCUGUGGGUACCAUGAAGUGGUGUCAUGAGUAUCAUGAAGUGGUUUCAUAGUACCUGCUUUCUUGAGAUCACUCUUGGGAAUGUGAUUGCCCUCUCCAUGGCUGAAAAGGCUAACAGCAUCUUAAAAGCAAAACCUGAAAUUACUCUGUGCAUAAAGAACCAAAUGGUGCUUCAUCAGAAACAAGGAUGGUAUUGCAGCAAUAACUGAGGUUUCUUCCCCCACAGUGUGAUUGUAAUGGAGCAAGGCAGAACCAGUUUUAUGACUUCAGCACCAGCACUGACUUCCUAGAGAAAGUUUUGGCAUAACCCACAGUCUCUACCCUUAUUUUCUUCUGUCACACCUAAAUCAGAGUUCAUAAAUUCCUGUUUAUCCACUAAUCUUGAAGAGGGAGAAAAGCCUGUGAUAGAAAGCCCUGAGCUGUGCACCUGGCCCAUGGAAACAAGUGCAGAAGCCACAAUAAGCAUUUCCAUCUGCCAGAGACCAGAAUACAGAUCUGUUAGACUGCUCCACUAAAAACAGUUUGUGUAUUUCCACAUGGUGCAUUUUGUGGGAAAAUUAGUCUCAUAGUAAUGUGGUUUGAAAUUACAACUCCUUAUACAAUGUUUUUCUUUUAUAUUUCUGUAGUGGAAAAGGCAAUUAACUUAAAUAUGAUAGAGAGCCUGUAAUUCUGAUCUGUCUGUGGCAGUGAUACUGGAUAGAGGCAGUUAUUGCUACUUGCUAGAAACUCACUAAUUUCUAACACUGCUAAUUGCUAGAAAUUAGUUAACUUUGUAUUUAAAAUAAAUUCUAUUAGAAUGAAAUAGCA